rnacentral:rRNA from 1 species
CACCAGACUCCUACGGGAGGCAGCAGUGGGGAAUAUUGCACAAUGGGGGAAACCCUGAUGCAGCGACGCCGCGUGAGCGAUGAAGUAUUUCGGUAUGUAAAGCUCUAUCAGCAGGGAAGAAAAUGACGGUACCUGACUAAGAAGCCCCGGCUAACUACGUGCCAGCAGCCGCGGUAAUACGUAGGGGGCAAGCGUUAUCCGGAUUUACUGGGUGUAAAGGGAGCGUAGACGGCUGUGCAAGCCAGAUGUGAAAGCCCGGGGCUCAACCCCGGGACUGCAUUUGGAACUGUGUGGCUGGAGUGUUGGAGAGGCAGGCGGAAUUCCUAGUGUAGUGGUGAAAUGCGUAGAUAUUAGGAGGAACACCAGUGGCGAAGGCGGCCUGCUGGACGAUGACUGACGUUGAGGCUCGAAAGCGUGGGGAGCAAACAGGAUUAGAUACCCGAGUAGC